UACAGAGGGUGCAAGCGUUGCUCGGAAUUAUUGGGCGUAAAGGGUAGGUAGGUGGUCUCAUUUGUCAGGGGUGAAAGCCUUGGGCUUAACCCAAGAAGUGCCCCUGAAACGGUGAGACUAGAGUGCUGGAGAGGGUCGUGAAUUCCCGGUGUAGCGGUGAAAUGCGUAGAGAUCGGGAGGAACACCAGAGGCGAAGGCGGCGACCUGGACAGUUACUGACACUCAACUACGAAAGCGUGGG
rnacentral:rRNA from 1 species